UCGACGAUUCUACGGGAGGCAGCAGUGGGGAAUAUUGCACAAUGGGCGAAAGCCUGAUGCAGCGACGCCGCGUGAGGGAUGACGGCCUUCGGGUUGUAAACCUCUUUCAGCAGGGACGAAGCGCAAGUGACGGUACCUGCAGAAGAAGCACCGGCUAACUACGU
rnacentral:rRNA from 1 species